GUUCUUCAUGGUCAAGUCCGUCAUCUUUCUCUCCUUCUGGCAAGGCAUGCUACUGGCCAUCUUAGAGAAGUGUGGGGCCAUCCCCAAGAUCAACUCAGCCCGUGUGUCAGUGGGCGAGGGCACUGUGGCUGCCGGCUACCAGGACUUCAUCAUCUGUAUUGAGAUGUUCUUCGCAGCCUUGGCCCUGCGCCAUGCCUUCACCUACAAGGUCUACGCUGACAAGAGACUGGACGCUCAAGUGCCGACAUACGGCCCGUACGGCCGCUGCGCCCCCAUGAAGAGCAUCUCCAGCAGCCUCAAAGAGACUAUGAACCCACACGACAUUGUGCAGGAUGCCAUCCACAACUUCUCACCUGCCUACCAGCAGUACACGCAGCAGUCCACUCUGGAGCCUGGGCCCACCUGGCGUGGUGGCACCCAUAGCCUUUCCCGGUCCCACAGCCUUAGUGGUGCACGUGACAAUGAAAAGACUCUGUUGCUCAGCUCUGAUGAUGAGUUCUAGGUGU
rnacentral:lncRNA from 1 species